rnacentral:rRNA from 1 species
GAUGAACGCUGGCGGCGUGCUUAACACAUGCAAGUCGAGCGGAGAUAUAAAAAGGAAGCCCUUCGGGGUGGAAUUUUUACAUCUUAGCGGCGGACGGGUGCGUAACACGUGGGUAACCUGCCCCUAUCACUGGGAUAACACACUGAAAAGUGUGCUAAUACCAGAUAACAUAAGCUUUUGGCAUCAUUAGCUUAUCAAAGAAUUUCGGAUAGGGAUGGGCCCGCGUCUGAUUAGCUAGUUGGUGAGGUAACGGCUCACCAAGGCAACGAUCAGUAGCCGACCUGAGAGGGUGAUCGGCCACACUGGAACUGAGACACGGUCCAGACUCCUACGGGAGGCAGCAGUGGGGAAUAUUGCACAAUGGGCGAAAGCCUGAUGCAGCAACGCCGCGUGAGCGAUGAAGG